rnacentral:rRNA from 1 species
UGAACGCUGGCGGCGUGCCUAAUACAUGCAAGUAGAACGCUGAAGGAAGGAGCUUGCUCUUUCCGGAUGAGUUGCGAACGGGUGAGUAACGCGUAGGUAACCUGCCUCUUAGCGGGGGAUAACUAUUGGAAACGAUAGCUAAUACCGCAUAAAAGUCGACAUUGCAUGAUGUUGAUUUGAAAGGUGCAACUGCAUCACUAAGAGAUGGACCUGCGUUGUAUUAGCUAGUUGGUGAGGUAACGGCUCACCAAGGCGACGAUACAUAGCCGACCUGAGAGGGUGAUCGGCCACACUGGGACUGAGACACGGCCCAGACUCCUACGGGAGGCAGCAGUAGGGAAUCUUCGGCAAUGGACGGAAGUCUGACCGAGCAACGCCGCGUGAGUGAAGAAGGUUUUCGGAUCGUAAAGCUCUGUUGUAAGAGAAGAACGAGUGUGAGAGUGGAAAGUUCACGCUGUGACGGUAUCUUACCAGAAAGGGACGGCUAACUACGUG